GUCAGGAUGGCUGAUCGGUCUAAGGUAAUCGCGUUCAUGUCGCUUUCCACUUCUGUGGGCGUGGGUUCGAAUCCCAUUUCUGACA